rnacentral:rRNA from 1 species
AGAGUUUGAUCAUGGCUCAAGAUGAACGCUAGCGGCAGGCUUAACACAUGCAAGUCGAGGGGCAGCACGGGUAGCAAUAUCUGGUGGCGACCGGCGCACGGGUGAGUAACGCGUAUGCAACCUACCUUUAACUGGGAGAUAGCCCCGAGAAAUCGGGAUUAAUAUCCCAUAACAUUGCGAAAGGACAUCCUUUUGCAAUUAAAGCUCCGGCGGUUAAAGAUGGGCAUGCGUGACAUUAGCCAGUUGGUAAGGUAAUGGCUUACCAAAGCUACGAUGUCUAGGGGGUCUUAAAGGAUGAUUCCCCACACUGGUACUGAGACACGGACCAGACUCCUACGGGAGGCAGCAGUGAGGAAUAUUGGUCAAUGGGCGCAAGCCUGAACCAGCCAUGCCGCGUGCAGGAUGAAGGCCCUACGGGUCGUAAACUGCUUUUGUGCGGGAAGAAACCCCCCGACGUGUCGGGGGUUGACGGUACUGUAUGAAUAAGCAUCGGCUAACUCCGUGCCAGCAGCCGCGGUAAUACGGAGGAUGCAAGCGUUAUCCGGAUUCAUUAGGUUUAAAGGGUGUGUAGGCGGGGCGACAAGUCAGUGGUGAAAUCCUGCGGCUUAACCGUAGAACUGCCAUUGAAACUAUCGUUCUUGAGUCCAGUUGAAGUGGGCGGAAUGUGUGGUGUA